rnacentral:rRNA from 1 species
CCUACGGGUGGCAGCAGUGGGGGAUAUUGCACAAUGGGGGAAACCCUGAUGCAGCGACGCCGCGUGUGGGAAGACGGUCCUCUGGAUUGUAAACCACUGUCCCCAGGGACGAAGAUGACGGUACCUGGGGAGGAAGCUUCGGCUAACUACGUACCAGCAGCCGCGGUAAUACGUAGGGAGCGAGUGUUGUCCGGAAUUACUGGGUGUAAAGGGAGCGUAGGCGGGAUGGCAAGUUGGGUGUUAAAUCUACCGGCUCAACUGGUAGUCGCACUCUAAACUGCUAUUCUUGAGUGAGAUAGAGGCAGGCGGAAUGCCUAGUGUAGCGGUGAAAUGCGUAGAUAUUAGGAGGAACACCAGUGGCGAAGGCGGCCUGCUGGCCUUAUACUGACGCUGAGGCUCGAAAGUGUGGGGAGCAAACAGGAUUAGAUACCCUAGUAGUC